rnacentral:rRNA from 1 species
GAGUAACACGUGGGAAACCUGCCCAGAAGCGGGGGAUAACACCUGGAAACAGAUGCUAAUACCGCAUAACAACUURGACCGCAUGGUCCGAGYUUGAAAGAUGGCUUCGGCUAUCACUUUUGGAUGGUCCCGCGGCGUAUUAGCUAGAUGGUGRGGUAAYGGCUCACCAUGGCAAUGAUACGUAGCCGACCUGAGAGGGUAAUCGGCCACAUUGGGACUGAGACACGGCCCAAACUCCUACGGGAGGCAGCAGUAGGGAAUCUUCCACAAUGGACGAAAGUCUGAUGGAGCAACGCCGCGUGAGUGAAGAAGGGUUUCGGCUCGUAAAACUCUGUUGUUAAAGAAGAACAUAUCUGAGAGUAACUGUUCAGGUAUUGACGGUAUUUAACCAGAAAGCCACGGCUAACUACGUGCCAGCAGCCGCGGUAAUACGUAGGUGGCAAGCGUUGUCCGGAUUUAUUGGGCGUAAAGCGAGCGCAGGCGGUUUUUUAAGUCUGAUGUGAAAGCCUUCGGCUCAACCGAAGAAGUGCAUCGGAAACUGGGAAACUUGAGUGCAGAAGAGGACAGUGGAACUCCAUGUGUAGCGGUGAAAUGCGUAGAUAUAUGGAAGAACACCAGUGGCGAAGGCGGCUGUCUGGUCUGUAACUGACGCUGAGGCUCGAAAGUAUGGGUAGCAAACAGGAUUAGAUACCCUGGUAGUCCAUACCGUAAACGAUGAAUGCUAAGUGUUGGAGGGUUUCCGCCCUUCAGUGCUGCAGCUAACGCAUUAAGCAUUCCGCCUGGGGAGUACGGCCGCAAGGCUGAAACUCAAAGGAAUUGACGGGGGCCCGCACAAGCGGUGGAGCAUGUGGUUUAAUUCGAAGCUACGCGAAGAACCUUACCAGGUCUUGACAUACU